AGAUUAGGAGGGAAAAAGAGUUGAACUCAUAAGCAGAAUUAGGAGCUUUGGGCUUCUUGUCCUAUUUUGGGUUCAGCCUGGUGAACUGCAGUGGGACAAGAGAGACAGUGAAGAGCUGGGGGCUGCCCCCCAGGGUGUCAGGAACCUACUGGAGGAUCCAGCUGCCAGGUCUGGGAGGGGUCCAGACUGGCUGGCAGAAUAUAGUGCACGGAAGGGGGUACAGCAGGUGACAGUCCAGGAACCUUUAGAGUUGGGUGUCCCAAAGCAAAACGGCCAGGUUGUCCCUGCAGGUGGGGCACAGUACAGAGACAUGGGGUACACAGAUGGGUGUGUACGGAAAUUGUGGCAACCCAGUCCAUCGAGGGGGCUUAGCCACUGUUAGGACUCUGGGUCCUGGAGAAGAAAUGGAAAAAGCAAGGAGGGCAGACAGGUUUCAGCUCCAAUGCUAGGUAUAAUGGAUUGGUAGUGGCUGUCUGGAGCUCUGGGUCAGGAGGAUUUUAAGUGUGGCUUCAGCAGAAAACGUGGGAAAGAAUGAUGUGACUGACUACCAAUGAGUGCUGUGGGUGCUUUGUGGGGAUUUUCUUCUGCACCUUUAAUCCCUCCUGUCCCGGUCCAGGACUUGGACAAGGACUGUGCUGUGGCCCCUGCUGGAGUAGGGAUGAGGCAAAGCCACCUACAGGGACAGCCUGGACUGACUCAUUCUGGAAAGAAGACAGAUGGGCUCCUUGGGGCUCCCAAGUCCUGUUGGCAGGGCUGACCUCUCAGCCUAACCUCAUCCAUCCAGGCUCCUCUGAGGGACUGGCCAGGCCUGGAGAAGUCAUUUGGGGAGUGUUUAAGAUCAGAAGAAAAAGAAAAUAGCCAGGAUCUGGGAGAUUCAUUAACUUUUCUGUGCUGUGUCCUGACACCUGGUUUUCCGUUGGGGAAAUUCAUGGAUGACUCUGCCUCCUUCUUGACCUCUGUGGUCCUGGCUGGGCCUCCUGACUUUGUUACUUCAGCUCAUCCUUCAGAAGACAACUGUGCACCUCUUCAGCCCCCCAGUACAUAGUUGUAUAUUCUUCGUUGUGGGUCCUUCUAGUUGUGGCACAUGCCUCAGCGUGGUUUGAUGAGCAGUGCCAUGUCCACGCCCAGGAUUCGAACCAACGAAACACUGGGCCGCCUGCAGUGGAGCGCGCGAACUUAACCACUCGGCUACGGGGCCAGCCCCAGGACUGCCUUUUAAGGCCUUUCAUAAUCUACUCCUCCUCCCUGAUUUAAUAUAAGACAGUUCUGCUCUUCAAAUCAGCUGAGAGUAGCUAGAAACAUACAAGCUGAGCACAGAGGGGUUAAAAUGAAAUGGGAAGUGAGAGAAAUGUCCUAGGGGUGGCUGGAAGGACAUGAUAUCAAGGUGAUGGGCCUCUGGGGAGAUGGCACCAGCCAUUGAGCCACUCGUGAAAUAAACACAAAAUGAUGCUGUGGAACAGAACAGCCAGUAAAUGGUACCAGUGUCACCACAUUCCUCUGUACCAGUCAAUCCUGGCACUCGAGACCCAGUGAGGCCUCAGAAUGCUUCUCAAGACAUUGCCAAGGGGACCAGUCCAAUGGACUUGGAUUAAUGUAGAGAUGACAUCUAGUGACCAUCCCCUUCUAGAAGAACGAGUGAAGCAGUUGAGCUUCUCCCAGCAGUAGACCCAGCCUUACCUAGCUCUGGGGAAGAUGCUACAGGCAAAAUAGAACCAUGAGAGGUGCAGACGUGGGCAGACUGGUUGCUCUUCUUCCUGGGCACACAGCUACCCUACAUAUUCCAGCCUCCCUUGUGAAAUCCCUGGGGCCAUGUGAGUGGGUUCCAGCCAAAGGAAUGAGGAGAAGCUACGUGCCAGUGUGGGCCUGGCCAUGAAGGCUUGAGCACAGUCCUCUGUGAUCCUACCCUUCCAUCUGUGGAGCCAGAGGCUGAAGAUGGUGGAGCCAUAGGAUGGAAGGAAACUAAAUACCAGCCACUGCUUGGAGGAGGGCUGCUUGCCAGUCAAGAAGACCCAUUAUGGACUUUACUGUGAUUCCACUGACUCUGGCCUCCGUCGUCCGCUGGGAAGUCCACGGUCAGUCUGAAGGCCCCGCCUUGGCAGCUGGAACUCACCUCGCAGCGGCCCUGUUUACUCACCUACCAGCUGCCUUCCUUAGAACCAGUUUUGUUCCUGUUCAGAAGGAAACCAGGCAGAGUUGGGAAAAUAUUUCCUCAGCCAGCUCCGCAGCCCCACUGUCUGGCGGAGGCCAUCUGGCCGGGAUGCACUCCGAGGGAGUAAACGCAGAAUUGCCCUCUCCCCGCACGACAGGGCAGAGAAGACGGCAGGUCCCAAGACGGGCUGCUACUGUGCUGAUUCUAACUCAUCUCCGGAAGUCCCCAGAGUCCAGCAGUGUGCUGGUGAUGUUUCACCACCGGCUCCCUGGGAGGGUGGAGGUGGGUGUUGAUCUCCAUGGACAAUUUGGAACUACCAAAAGUGAACUCACGGAACACGGAGUUAGCAAGAGAUGCACAGUAGCACUCCACUGUGCAAGAUUUCUACCAUACGGAUAUCAUAGAUGUACAUGACCCCAAGAGCAUAGAUAAGAAAAUGCAGUAAAAUAAUUAGCAAGCGAUGAGUUUUGAGUAUUUCCUGCCUUUGUUUGUAA
ensembl:lncRNA